UUGGUCAAGUGGUUAAGACACCGCCCUUUCACGGCGGUAACACGGGUUCGAAUCCCGUACGGGUCACCA
rnacentral:tRNA from 1 species